AUUGAACGCUGGCGGCAUGGCUAAAGCAUGCAAGUCGAACGCGAACCCCUUCGGGGGGGAAAGUGGCGAAAGGGCGAGGAAUACGAUCGAAUGUACCCUGAGGUGGGGGAUAGCGUCGAGAAAUCGGCGGUAAUACCCCAUGUGCUCUACGGAGGAAAGGUUUACCGCCUUAGGAGCAGCGAUCGUCCUAUCAGGUAGUUGGCGGGGUAAUGGCCCACCAAGCCGAAGACGGGUAGCGGGUGUGAGAGCAUGACCCGCCGCAUCGGAACUGAGACACUGUCCGGACUCCUACGGGAGGCUGCAGCGACGAAUAUUCCGCAAUGGGCGCAAGCCUGACGGAGCAAUGCCGCGUGUGGGAUGAAGCGCCUUCGGCGUGUAAACCACUGUCAGGUCCUAGGAACAAUGACCGGGACCAGAGGAAGGGCCGGCUAACCUCGUG
rnacentral:rRNA from 1 species